CCCAGUUGCAGUAAUGUGGGUGGAGCAGCUCAACAAUAAACUGCAGGUUGGUACCAGAGUCAAAGCUCCGUCCUACAGUCAUUAUGUUCUUGUACUGAUCUGUGUCGUGUCUUUAAACUCGCUCUUCUGCUUUCAAGUGAUGACGGCUGUCAGCGAAUCACUUUGAAACUAAAAGGAACGGAAAACAUGAUGUUUCUCAGGCUGCGUGUGAAGAGGGGACAGCAACCAGCCAAAUGAAGACUCACUCUGGGUUUUUUCUUGUCCAUUGUCUGUCAGCAUCGUGACUUCAUGGAGUCAUUUUACUCUCUUUCUCUGUGGAUUUUUAUCCUCUCUUUCAAUUUCAUUAAAGGAUCAUUUGUAGUGGAUGUGACACAGAGCUCCUAUCAGGCAGAGGAGAACCACAACAUCACACUGGAGUGGACGUUCACCACCAAACCAGA